rnacentral:rRNA from 1 species
GGGAAGAAACACCGGCUCUAACACAGUCCGGGAAUGACGGUACCUGAAGAAUAAGCACCGGCUAACUACGUGCCAGCAGCCGCGGUAAUACGUAGGGUGCGAGCGUUAAUCGGAAUUACUGGGCGUAAAGCGUGCGCAGGCGGUUAUACAAGACAGGCGUGAAAUCCCCGGGCUUAACCUGGGAAUGGCGCCUGUGACUGUAUAGCUAGAGUGUGUCAGAGGGGGGUAGAAUUCCACGUGUAGCAGUGAAAUGCGUAGAUAUGUGGAGGAAUACCAAUGGCGAAGGCAGCCCCCUGGGAUAACACUGACGCUCAUGCACGAAAGCGUGGGGAGCAAACAGGAUUAGAUACCCUGGUAGUCCACGCCCUAAACGAUGCUGACUAGUUGUUC